GUCAGACAGCAGGUGUGAUCCUGCAGGUGUACGAUGUGUCAGACAGCAGGUGUGAUCCUACAGGUAUAUGAUGUGUCAAACAGCAGGUGCGAUCCUGCCGGUGUGCGGUGUGUCAGUCAGCAGGUGUGAUCCUGCAGGUGUAUGAUGUGUCAAACCGCAGGUGCGAUCCUGCCAGUGUGUGGUGUGUCAGAUACUAGGUGUGAUC